AUAAAUAAAAAUUCCAUUGUUGUUAGGCUUGUAUUGAUGGUAUAUAUGGUAACUGAAACAAAUCUUGGGCAUCUGUUUGUUUUUAUGAAGGUUUUGGUUGCAGCUGCACCUGGUGUUCCAAGCCUUCCACUAAUGUAAUUCUGUAUGGCAAAGAGUUUGAAUUCAAGUCAACCCUUCGCAUUCCUCUGCAAUGGUGGCCACUGCAACAACGCUUGGCCUUGAAAGGGGGCUGUCGGAUUCAAUAUUUGGCUUCACUGUUGUUUAUGCAGGCAUUGUGAUGCCCAGGCAUUAAUGUUGACAUGUCUCUUUCUUUUUCUAUCCAUCUUUUCCUUGAUCCUAUUAAAUUGACAGGUCUACAUAUUUUGAUUAAUGAAAAUUUGAGCUGAAAUACCGUUUAUGAUUUCUAAAUUUGAUGUGUUUGACAUUGGAAACAGCUUAAUUCUAGCCAAACUUGAUUUGUGUUCAAUGGUACUAUAUUGUUUUGAAAAUUUGGGUUUGUCUGCUUGACAGGAUUUGUGGUUCUAAAAUACUUGCAAUUUAACUGUUGGUUUCAUGAGGUCUGAUUAAAGAGGAACAAACUCUCCGUCCAUUGAUUAUGUUAGCAUAUCGGAAUAUCUGCUGAGAAUGCUCACCAACAUAAAGUUGAUGUUACAACAAUAUACGAGCAAAUUAGCUUUUAUCUAAUGGGGUUUAGUCCAGAACUUACUCUUAGACAGAUGAUAGAAAGGGCACCAACACAUUAGAGUAUUUCCUGUCUGACAGUCUAAUAUUGCAGCAAUCUGCCACAUAGCUUCAUUAGGAAAUAGGUCGUUUCAAUUAGUUAGAAGUACUAAUGUAAGCGCAUGCUGAUUGUAGAUUUAUACUCUGCAAGUUGAGAGGCUGCAUAGUAUCUCUCUGUUCCAUCUUAGUCAUCAGGAAAGGAGAUGCUUCAGAAUACUAAGCAAGAACAGAUACAUUACGGGUAGAAGACAUUUUAAUAAGAGGACUCAAUUGGAGCAAACUUCUUGAUCCUAAUAAGAAGGGCCAGUGUGGUUAUCUGGGGAUAUUGCUUCAACAGUAGACAAUGUCGAAGAGGUUGCCAACACAUAGACAAAGAAGUUCUUGAAGCCCAGAAAACUUUUGCAACUCGCUGCUGCACAGAGAAUGAACACAGAUGCUAGAAAGGCAAUGUUUUGUAUAAUUAUGAGCGGGGAGGAUUACAUUGAUGCAUUUGAGAAGCUUUUGGGAUUGGAUUUACAUGGAAAGCAGGACAGAGAAACAAUGCAAGUUCUUGUGGAGUGCUGUUUGGAGGAGAAACUGUUUAACAAGUAUUACACGAUUCUGGCUUCCAAAUAGUGCGAGCAUGACAAAAAUCACAAGUUCACAUACGGGUAUUAACGGUGAACUUGCUAUGCAUGCCUUGCGGUCCAUCUGUACCUGGGUCACACAUUUCAUUGCCUCUACUAUUGUUUUUUUUUUUUUUGCUCAAAUUCCCUCUACUA